rnacentral:lncRNA from 1 species
GUGCGGGCCCCGCUCCGCUUCGAAUGGAUACAGUUAAGCUAAUGAUCUCGAGAGGAUAUCGUCCUGGAUAAGGGUGGAGCCUACGCCCAAAAACAAGAUUACCUGAAAGAGAAAAGAAAGGGGGAAAACACACAGAGAUACAGUCGGGGAGGCCACAUGAAGAUGGAGGCAGAGACAGGAGUGAUGAGCCUGCAAGCCAAGGAAUGCCAAGGGCUGCCAGCAGCCAUGAGAAGCUGAGAGACACAGAGAACGAGUCCUCUGCCAGAGCCUCCAGAAGGAACUAACCCUGUCAAUACCUUGAUUUCGGACUUCUGGACUCCAGAACUAUAACCCUCCUUCCUCCACCUCACAAAAACUCACAAGCUGCAACCCUUCUGAUGUCCACUCCCACACAAACCAGCUUCAGGCCUUUUUCAAGAGUGCAGGAAAUUCUACCCCCCAAGUAUGGCACCUUGGCAUGCUGAGUAUUUUAAGCUGAAGGAAACAGAGAAAACCACAGAAGCAGAAAGGUCUUUCUGACCUCUCUUGAAGACCCUCAUGUGACAGGUGUCCUGCCCUACAUCCAGAGAGAAGGAAUGUUCCACAGACAGACUAAGAAGAAUCUGAAGAAUCAGGCCUUACUAAGUGCCCUCCAGUGGAUGCUGUGGGGCACCACCUCCUUGAGGACCAAGGCACUCCAGCUGCCAGGAAUUUGGCUGCUAACCUCACACAGCUGAGCCUUCCAUGAAAAUUGCUCUCUGCCAAAGAGAACUUCCUAGUCCAAGGUCAUGUCUACUCUCCAGAGAUGUGACUGGAGUGAUUUGCACCCGGAUGCCUAGACUCGCCAUCUGCUCAAAGACUGCUCAGAAAGCCCUCCCAUGCAUUCCCCUGCUGCAUACCAGCCCACUCUGCCUGCAGCUGCUGUCUGCAGGACUUCAUAUCUAUGCCACACUGUGUAAAAGCUGUGCUUCAAGAAAUCACAAAAACAUUUUCCUGCACCUACUACACAGCCUGAGUGCGGCAUAAGUUGACCUUGCUUGCUAAGAAAUGGGGCAAGAAAUGCUUUUUUGUGUGUGUCAUGUCUGUUUGUUUUUCAAUUAAGAGAGGAAAGCAUUAGGCAGAUGGAAUGUACAUGUGAGGAUGAGGAGACAGAAAACAAGUAGCCCUUUCCAUCAAGAUAGAGGGUUUUCUGGGGUUGCUGGCUAUUGAAUGUCACUCCUGAUUUCUCUUUCCAAGGCACUGUACCACCAGCCUACUGAGAUUGUGUGGGAGCUUUCAUGGGGGUUG